rnacentral:rRNA from 1 species
CGAUUCUGGCUCAGAACGAACGCUGGCGGCAGGCCUAACACAUGCAAGUCGAGCGCGCCCUUCGGGGUGAGCGGCGGACGGGUUAGUAACGCGUGGGAACGUACCCUUUGGUAGGGAAUAGCCACUGGAAACGGUGAGUAAUACCCUAUGAGCCCUUCGGGGGAAAGAUUUAUCGCCAAAGGAUCGGCCCGCGUUAGAUUAGGUAGUUGGUGGGGUAAUGGCCUACCAAGCCUACGAUCUAUAGCUGGUUUUAGAGGAUGAUCAGCAACACUGGGACUGAGACACGGCCCAGACUCCUACGGGAGGCAGCAGUGGGGAAUCUUGGACAAUGGGGGCAACCCUGAAUCCAGCCAUGCCGCGUGAGUGAAGAAGGCCUUAGGGUCGUAAAGCUCUUUCGCCUGUGAAGAUAAUGACGGUAGCAGGUAAAGAAACCCCGGCUAACUCCGUGCCAGCAGCCGC